rnacentral:rRNA from 1 species
UACGUAGGUGACAAGCGUUAUCCGGAAUUACUGGGCGUAAAGCGCACGCAGGCGGCGCGGUAAGUCUGAUGUGAAAUCUCGGAGCUUAACUCCGAAACUGCAUUCGAUACUGCCGUGCUUGAGGACUGGAGAGGAGACUGGAAUUUACGGUGUAGCGGUGAAAUGCGUAGAUAUCGUAAGGAAGACCAGUGGCGAAGGCGGGUCUCUGGACAGUUCCUGACGCUGAGGCUCGGAAAAGCCAUGGGGGAGCAAAACGGG